AGCUUUGCGCAGUGGCAGUAUCAUAGCCAAUGAGGUUUAUCCGAGGUGCGAUUAUUGCUAAUC
rnacentral:snRNA from 1 species